rnacentral:rRNA from 1 species
AAGCCAGGCGGCGACGCCGAGCGGAACCCGAAAGCCGUUCUCAGUUCGGAUCGGAGUCUGCAACCCGACUCCGUGAAGCUGGAUUCGCUAGUAAUCGCGCAUCAGCCAUGGCGCGGUGAAUACGUUCCCGGGCCUUGUACACACCGCCCGUCAAGCCAUGGGAGCCGGGGGUGCUUGAAGUGCGUCGCCGCGAGGCGCGCCCUAGAGCAAAACCGGUGACUGGGGCUAAGUCGUAACAAGGUACC